rnacentral:tRNA from 6 species
GCUCGAGUGGUGUAGCCUGGCCUAUCAUCUCAGCCUGUCGAGCUGAGGACUCGGGUUCAAAUCCCGGCUCGGGCGCCA